UCUUUCUGUUUGCAGCAAACAGCAGGUGGACUAGUGCAUCUAAGUUCCUUACACGAAAAAAGAAAAGAUAAAAGCUCAUUCAGAAUUGUGUGCAUUUCUUUUCUAUUUCCCAGAAUAAACAGUGUAAAUCUGUGUCAAACACCAGAUGUCCAUCACAUUACAGCAUGGUGGCCUAAUUCCAAAUAUCUGAAUGUUGCAUGGACGCUUGAUUGAAAACAGAUGACUGAGGCCUGAUCCUGUUCUCAGAAAAGUUAUUGUAAAACCUGGAGCUGGAAGUUGAGCAAAAAGGGGCACUUGUUGAUGCUUUCCCAGAGAGAGGAGCUUGAAGGUUGA
rnacentral:lncRNA from 1 species